GGAGAACUUAAUGGAAGGUCCGAGGAAGGGGUGCCUCUCAUUCAAGGCCAACGGGCCAGAUGCCAGGGCCAUGGGCAUGACCAGAUGCUUUCCAGCUGAGCUACACACUGCCCUGCUGAUUCGCUCACUUAACAAUCGAUGAGCACCUGCUAUAUUCCAGCCCCGGGCUAGGGUCACAGAGAUAAAGGACACCUCGCCUGCUCCCAUGUCAAUCACAGUCUACGGGGAGAAAUGAGGAGCUGGCCCAGAACGACUUAGCGGAAAGCACUUUGGCUGGCCGCCGACAGAGUAAAUGGAUGGCUGAGGAUGCUUUCGUCUGCACAGCAUCUAUUCCUCUUCUGGGAAGAGUCCCAGGUUUCCCUUCAGGGAACCACGUCUCCACUCUCAAUUUGUUUUUGAGGGAGCUGGCUCCUUCCAGCCUCCCUCCCACUCUGGGGUGAACUGAUAACCCAGGCUCCACCACUUCCUUUGGACACAGUCAACACCCAGAUAGUCAUCUUGUAGGCAUGUGUUUAAAGAGUAUCUCCUUCCACAUAUAUAAAGUCAGUAAUCUCACUAAGGGCUUCUGCACAUUUUGAGGAAACUGAAAUGUGACUAAAAAUGUUAUGAAAGCUUCAGCAUCCCAAGUAAGUACAUCAUUCACCUUUUAGCAGCAUGGUGCACAGGAUUCUUCGUGCACAGCCUCAGUGACCACACAUGACAAGGAAUAUUGUCCUUGCAAAGAUAGUUUGGAAAAGUCAUUAAACAAACGGAGGAUUGCAUCGUAUCCCACAGCAAGCAACAGCAACAAACCCUGGAUAGGAAGAAACAUCUGAUUCCCAGACGUACCACAUUAUAAAAUUUAAAAUACCUAGUUUCAACAGCAAGAUUAUAAAGCCUAUAAAGAAACAGAAAAGAUGGCCCAUUCACAGGAAAACAGAAAGGACACAUAG